UGGGGGCUAUGCUGUAUCCUUUACGUAAAGUGAUUACGUACAUGUGUAAAGUUCAGAAUUACGUACAUCAGAUUACAGUCGUCAAAACAUAAGUGUAUAAAGUGGUAUGAUGUAUGAAAAAAAUUACGUAUCAUGUUAUUAGGGUUCUGUCAUGUCCUGACUGUCAGUUAAUUCAUGUUAACCCAACUUUUUUCACUCUUGACCUGUGCUUGGUGGUGUGAACAGCGCUUGGCUCCGCGUUCUACGAAUACGAGGUCUUUCCUAAGUACUAACGUACCUAACCUACCCCAAAUUGUUUUUGUCUGGUUUCUCCUCUGUGGCGUUCCUAUUACCAUUUGUUUACAAUCUGUGUUUGUGUUUCCUAUUUGUAUAUAACACCUUAACCUCAAAUUUUUAAAAGUCAGGAAAAAAUGCUACCAUCUCACGCAAAUGUCAGCGGCCCUGAUAUGGUUUAGAACCAGAUUACAUCACGGUCGCCAACAAAUAGUGCUGGCGAAUCGCCUCGUAGCGAAGCCAUAAAAAAAGAGAAGAAGAAGAACCCAACUUUUUGCUUGUUUUUAAGUUUAAUGUUUAUAUUUUGAAAAGAUGAAUUUUGUAAAUCGGUUAUUUAUGUACUUAAAUGCUGUGGCAGAAAGACAUAAUUUAAAUCUAGAGUGACUUCAGUUACGAGAUGGAUUACGAGACAACCAGUAAUCCGUUUUUAUGAGAUAUUUCAGUGCCAAAAACUAUUACUGUGAUAUAAAAUUAAAUAAAACAUUGUAAUUACUACUAGAUUAACAAUCUUAUAUUUUUAUGUUUAGUGAUAAUGUUUAAAAUUUAAUGGACUAAGCUCAUGUUGUAAGUUUUUAUGCUUCUUUAAUACAAUGCUUUUUUGUCUUAA